CAGACUUCCUGCUCAGGGCUAGGUCGGGUGACACUAGGCUGACUGGAAGCAGGGGACAGGACAGGGAUCAGAGGUCCUGGCAGGGCCCAGGGCAGGACAAUGGCAAGUACGGGCAGCAGCCUCAGCACCAGGAGCCUUGAUGAGGAAGCCAAAGAACAAGGAAGGACCAAGAUGCCAAAGACCAGUGCAGACUGACAUUUCGUUUGUACUUUGAUUUUCUCCUCUGGUCCAGGUAAUCAGUCUCCAGCUGUGGCCAGAGCUGAGCUCUGCUUUCCUAGGAGGAAGUGACUUCCCAGCUUUCUGCUCUCUGUUCCCUGGACCUCAUCAAAAUGGUCAUGGCCAGCUCCAAAUGGUGAGCCCUUGGGGAGGUAAUUCUACUCUGCCUUUCAGGGACAUUUGACAUGGUUUCUUCAGCUUUUUGGUCUGAAAAACUUUACUGUGUAUCCUGAGGGGGAAUCUGACUGUGUGUUGGGACCCUCACUCUACCCCUGCCUGACCCUUACAAGUUUUCCUUCCUUCUUGCUCCCAGCAGAACUCCUUGUCCUUGACCAAGCCUAGGUUCUCAUUCUCUGCUUGGGAACUAGUUUUUUUUUCAUAUUUU